CGGGUGAGUAAUAUAUAGUUAAUGUGCCUUGAAGACCGGGAUAGCCAUUGGAAACGAUGAUUAAUACUGGAUAUACCUUCUAAUGUAAGAUUAGUCGGGAAACGUUUUUUCGCUUCGAGAUCAGACUAUAUCCCAUCAGCUUGUUGGUGAGGUAAGAGCUCACCAAGGCAAUGACGGGUAGCGGGUUUGAGAGGAUGAUCCGCCACACUGGUACUGAGACACGGACCAG
rnacentral:rRNA from 1 species